GAUUUUCCCCUGCGUAGCUAAAUCCCUAAACCCUCGCUUCCAGAUCUCCUCCCUUUCUCUCUUCAUCUCCCACCAUCAGCAUGGCCUCGUCUUGUAACAGAUUAAUCUCCAGAUCAUCCCUUGCGUCAAUCAAAUCCGCCAUCAGAUCCAACUCUUCAAAAUCUCCCAUCACCAGAUCUCCCCUUUCCCGGUCACCUUCUCCUCAUUUCCCUUCCUCUUCCCUUCCCCGACGCUUCGCUUUCUCUUUCAGGGCUCCUUCUGAGCUGGGAUGCGUGCAGUCGCUCCUGCCGCUGCACAGCGCGGUGGCGACGGCGAGGAUGAUGUCAUGCUUGAGCACUUCAUCGAGGAGUUGCCGAGCGCUUUCACAGGGUACACUCUGCUGCACCUCUCCCGGCCUCUAAUACUUUAUCACUACUCUGUUUAGGAGUGCACAUAAUUUCAAAAGAAAUAAACUGGGGACCUGUCAAUUAUGGCCCACUGCGUCUUUAUCAAAUGGAGUUGAUGGUACGUAACAUGUGUGCUGUUUGUGGAGAGAUUGGUCUGUCAGUUCCAAGGUGACCUGUUAGGAGGAAUGCACUGUGAUGGGAGAUUACCUCGGCAUGAUUGAAGCAGCAAGGCUUAGUAGCUUUUCAAUUUGUGAAGACUUUUGUCAAUUUAUAAAUGCUGCAGAACCUUUAAAGCAGUGAAGCUGAUUUUGAUUCAUCAUGAUGAAGAGAACCAAUCUCUUGGGAUGUAACAUUUAAGAGGGUAUUUGGUUUUGCUACAUAAAAUGUAUUUUUUAACUUAUAAAUUAAUUUAAAAAUAAAUAAUUAAUUGUUCAAUGAAA